rnacentral:sRNA from 1 species
CAUCGUCCAAGGCGGAUAGAAACCGAUGAAAAAGGCCUUUCCCGGUCGCCGGGAAAGGCCUUUUUUUCUUUGGUAUCAUUCCUCUUCCGCAGCGGCUGC